rnacentral:rRNA from 1 species
UACGAAGGGGGCUAGCGUUGUUCGGAAUUACUGGGCGUAAAGCGCACGUAGGCGGGUCGUUAAGUCAGGGGUGAAAUCCCGGAGCUCAACUCCGGAACUGCCUUUGAUACUGGCGAUCUUGAGAUCGGAAGAGGUGAGUGGAAUUCCCAGUGUAGAGGUGAAAUUCGUAGAUAUUGGGAAGAACACCAGUGGCGAAGGCGGCUCACUGGCCCGGUACUGACGCUGAGGUGCGAAAGCGUGGGGAGCAAACAGG